UACGGAGGGUGCAAGCGUUAUCCGGAUUCACUGGGUUUAAAGGGUGCGUAGGCGGAUAUGUAAGUCCGCGGUGAAAUCUCUGGGCUUAACCCGGAAACUGCCAUGGAUACUAUGUGUCUUGAAUGUUGUUGAGGUGAGCGGAAUAUGUCAUGUAGCGGUGAAAUGCUUAGAUAUGACAUAGAACACCAAUUGCGAAGGCAGCUCACUAAGCAAAUAUUGACGCUGAGGCACGAAAGCGUGGGGAUCAAACAGG
rnacentral:rRNA from 1 species